UCACAUACCUGCCAACUGUCACUAUUUGCGGGGGAUUUCCCCCAUGGAGGCUCCCAAAUUGAAAUUUUUAAAGAGCAAUUAUGUCCACAAUUUUAACAAAACAAUUAAUGUUACAAUGAAUUGAGGCUUAUAAAAGUAUGAAGAAGCCAAAAAACAACAUUAAACUGAAUUUGAAGGUCCCCUUGAAUAUUUUUUAGGAGUAUGGCAGCCAUCUUGCACCAAAACCCCC
rnacentral:lncRNA from 1 species